UACGUAGGGUGCGAGCGUUAAUCGGAAUUACUGGGCGUAAAGCGUGCGCAGGCGGUUUUGUAAGCCAGAUGUGAAAGCCCCGGGCUUAACCUGGGAAUAGCAUUUGGGACUGCAAGGCUUGAGUGCGGCAGAGGAGACUGGAAUUCCUGGUGUAGCAGUGAAAUGCGUAGAUAUCAGGAGGAAUACCGAUGGCGAAGGCAGGUCUCUGGGCUGACACUGACGCUCAUGCACGAAAGCGUGGGGAGCAAACAGG
rnacentral:rRNA from 1 species